AAUGAUCUAUGCUACAACUGUAAGAAGCCUGGCCAUUUCAUUGCCAACUUCAACAAACCUCUCAGAGAAGAACUAAAGAAGAAAUCACAUGCAAAGAAGGAAUACAAAGGUAACAAAAGGCCUCAAAAGAAAGAAAAAGGCCUUAUAGCUGGAGGAUCGUGGAGUGAUUCAGACAAUGACUCCAAUCCUGAAUCUGGAGAUGAUGAAGAACCACAAAUGGCUAAUAUGUGCC
rnacentral:lncRNA from 1 species